rnacentral:snoRNA from 1 species
UUGGGACUUUAUCUCCAUUUGUAUGACGUUCCUAGGUAUACGUGGUAAACGAAUCCCAGAUAUUGAGGUUGUUUUUUUUAAUUUCCAAGACGCUUGCAGAGGCGGCGCCAUAGAUCCCGUGUGGUCUCGCCUUUGAUAGUGUCUUACAUCU